rnacentral:rRNA from 1 species
GACGAACGCUGGCGGCGUGCUUAACACAUGCAAGUCGAGCGGAGCGGCGAACGGGUGAGUAACGCGUGAGUAACUGCCCCCCUCUCUGGGAUAACAGUUGGAAACGGCUGCUAAUACCGGAUAGUGGGGGAUGACUCGCGUCCUAUCCGCUUGUUGGGGGGGUGAUGGCCUACCAAGGCGGUGACGGGUAGCCGGCCUGAGAGGGUGACCGGCCACAUUGGGCUGGGAUACGGCCCAGACUCCUAAGGGAGGCAGCAGUGGGGGAUAUUGCACAAGGGGCGAAAGCCUGAUGCAGCGACGCCGCGUGUGGGAUGAAGGCUUUCGGGUUGUAAACCUCUCCUUGCAAGGCUCCGGUAGUGGCAGAAGAAGCACCGGCUAACUACGUGCCAGCAGCCGCGGUAAUUC